rnacentral:miRNA from 1 species
AAUACUUGCCUAGCAUGUGUAAGAUUGUUCAGUUCCCAGCACUGCUAGCUAAAUAUGCAUAUACAUACAUGCAUACAUACAUAACAAAACAGGAUACUGU